rnacentral:rRNA from 1 species
GCCGCGGUAAUACAUAGGUCACAAGCGUUAUCCGAAAUUAUUGGGCGUAAAGCGUCUGUAGGUUGUAUUGUUAAGUCUAGAAGUUAAAUCCCGAUGCUCAACAUCGGCCCGCUUUAGAUACUGGCAAACUAGAGUUAUAGAGAGGUUAGUGGAAUUUCAUGUGAAGCGGUGGAAUGCGUAGAUAUAUGAAGGAACACCAAUGGCGAAGGCAGCUAACUGGCUAUAUACUGACACUGAGGGACGAAAGCGUGGGGAGCAAACAGGAUUAGAUACCCUGGUAGUCCACGCUGUAAACGAUGAUCAUUAGUUGGCGGGAGAAAUUCUCGCUGGCGCAGCUAACGCAUUUAAAUGAUCCGCCUGAGUAGUAUGCUCGCAAGAGUGAAACUUAAAGGAAUUGACGGGGACCCGCACAAGCGGUGGAGCAUGUGGUUUAAUUUGACGAUACGCGUAGAACCUUACCCACUCUUGACAUCCUCAGCAAAGCUAUAGAGAUAUAG